rnacentral:rRNA from 1 species
AGGAGAGAUGGCUUAAAGGGGUACGCGGGCUUCUUCCGCGAAUUCGCUCCAGGAUGGGACUGCGUCCGAUCAGGCUGUUGGCGGGGUAAUGGCCCACCAAACCUGUAACCGGUACGGGCCUUGAGAGAGGUGGCCCGGAGAUGGACACUGAGAGAAGGGUCCAGGUCCUACGGGGCGCAGCAGGCGCGAAACCUUCGCAAUGCGCGAAAGCGUGACGAGGUUAAUCCGAGUGACUUCCGCUGAGGAGGUCUUUUGUCAGCUGUAAAUAGGCAGGCGAAUAAGGGGAGGGCAAGCCUGGUGUCAGCCGCCGCGGUAAUACCAGCUCCUCGAGUGGUCGGGGCGAUUAUUGGGCCUAAAGCAUCCGUAGCCGGUUCCGUAGGUCCUCUGUUAAAUCCAACCGCUUAACGGUUAACCUGCAGAGGAUACCGCGGGACUAGGAGGCGGGAGAGGCGGACGGUACUCCGCGUGUAGGGGUAAAAUCCUUUGAUCCGCGGAAGACCACCAGUGGCGAAGGCGGUCCGCCAGAACGCGCUCGACGGUGAGGGAUGAAAGCUGGGGGAGCGAACCGGAUUAGAUACCCGGGUAGUCCCAGCCGUAAACGAUGCUAGCUAGAUGAUUCAUUCGCAAGUCGCGAAUGAAGUGUCGCAGGGAAGCCGUUA